AUCUCUGAAUUUCCUAUUUUUGUUUUGAAAUUUGAUUUUAACUAUUGUUUUUUUCUGGUUGUGUCUGUAUUUUUUCCACCCCCACAGGCGCCGAGCUGCGCUGUUUUCUUUCUUUCUUUUUGAUUUUUUUCUUUUUCUUUUUCUUUUCUCGAAACUCUGAAGCCAGACUGUCUUCUUCACCGCUCCCGGGCUGCACCACUGUGGGCACAUCAAGCUUCGUCUGGCUCACCUGCAUGGUUCCGGCUGAUUCCUGCCUGUGAUGGCCCAUCGUACAACUAGGAUCCCAGAAUCUCCUGUCUGCACUCUGCGGAAGAAGGACCUAUUUCAGUCUCUGGCCAGGGUCUCUCACAGCCGAUGGGGUCUUGGAAGACAGGGUGAAGUUGCAGAAGACUGGGGUGGGAUGCUAGAGGCAUGCGAAGGACUUGGAAAGGGAAUUUAGGAAUACUAUACAUCAGUGCCCACCGAUGAUAUGCAUACAGGGCGAGGGCAGCCGCCGCCCCUGCCUCACGCACCUAACCCCGGCUGCUCUCUGGGAUUGUCUGAGGGGGACAACCCAGGUCUGGAUGUGGUGGCAUUUUUUCAGAGAGUGGAACUGAAGAUGGAUGAAGCAGCCCAUUCAAAUGAGGAAGAGCAAACAGUUUUGUACCAGUGUGACUUCUCUUGACCUGUUCUCCACCGCAGAAGGAUUUGGGGCUGGAGGUUGGUGGUCCUGGUGAGUACUCACUGAGGCAAACAGGGCCCACUGUGUUUCCAGAUAUCCCUUUGGAAUUACUCUCAAGCACCUGCAGAGAAAGAAUGGUAGGGGUGGUAGAGCCCUGUCCUUUCACAGGUUGCUUAUUUUAAAAUCAGUAUUUGACAAUACGAGCUUGAGUUGCUGUAUUAUAUACCUAAUCCAUAAAAGUAGAACCAACUCUAAUCACUUAAAUCUUGGCCACAACACUAUAAGACCCUUAAAAAGUUAGUAUUUUCCUAGGUGUCAUAGCUGAGUAGGUGUUGCAGUAAUCAAUCAAAUACUCAAAUUGAUCUCGGUGGUGACGUUCCUCGACACCCGCCCCAGUAUUCUGGGUUCCCGAAUGAAAGACACACACACACACACACACACACAC
rnacentral:lncRNA from 1 species